UGCCUCAUAUCAGCUGCUGUGCUCUGCAGUAGAGGGGGUGGCAGUGAAGCUUCAGCUUCAGGGUGGGCUGCACAAAGUCCACUGUCCUUUCAAGGUCUUCUUGAGUCU